rnacentral:rRNA from 1 species
AGCUCCAAUAGCGUAUAUUAAAGUUGUUGCAGUUAAAACGCUCGUAGUUGGGUAGGGGGUGGUAUGGUUGGGUGUGGACGUUAGUUCAUUACUUGGCUGUAUACCUUUUUUGCGGGGAGUACCUGGGGUAAUAGCCAGAUACCAGAACCGCGCGUUACUGUGAAGAAAUUAGAGUGUUCAAGGCAGGCAGAUAGCUUGGAUACAUUAGCAUGGAAUAACAAGGGGAGAGUGUUCUUAUCUUGUUGGUUUGGGAGAGUACUAGAUUGAUAGGGCCAGUCGGGGGCAUUAGUAUUUAGUAGUCAGAGGUGAAAUUCUUGGAUUUACUAAAGACUAACUAGUGCGAAAGCAUUUGCCAAGGAUGUUUUCAUUA